GACGAACGCUGGCGGCGUGCUUAACACAUGCAAGUCAAGGGGCCGCAAGGCAACCGCGAACGGGUGCGUAACACGUGAGCAAUCUGCCUAGAUGUGGGGGAUAGCCGGCCCAACGGCCGGGUAAUACCGCAUACGCUCACCGGGUGGCAUCACCUGGUGAGGAAACAUUUUUGGCAUCUAGAGGAGCUCGCGGCCUAUCAGCUAGUUGGUGGGGUAACGGCCUACCAAGGCAUUGACGGGUAGCUGGUCUGAGAGGAUGGCCAGCCACAUUGGGACUGAGAUACGGCCCAGACUCCUACGGGAGGCAGCAGUGGGGAAUAUUGCGCAAUGGCCGAAAGGCUGACGCAGCGACGCCGCGUGGGGGAUGAAGCAUUUCGGUGUGUAAACCCCUGUUGCUCGGGACGAACAACUGGAUUUUUCCAGUCUGACGGUACCGGGUGAGAAAGCACCGGCUAACUCCGUG
rnacentral:rRNA from 1 species